rnacentral:rRNA from 1 species
GACGAACGCUGGCGGCGUGCUUAACACAUGCAAGUCGAACGGAAAGGCCCUGCUUUUGUGGGGUGCUCGAGUUGCGAACUGGUGAGUAACACGUGAGUAACCUGCCCUUGACUUUGGGAUAACUUCAGGAAACUGGGGCUAAUACCGGAUAGGAGCUCCUGCUUCAUGGUGGGGGUUGGAAAGUUUCGGCGGUUGGGGAUGGACUCGCGGCUUAUCAGCUUGUUGGUGGGGUAGUGGCUUACCAAGGCUUUGACGGGUAGCCGGCCUGAUAGGGUGACCGGCCACAUUGGGACUGAGAUGCGGCACAGACUCCUACGGGAGGCAGCAGUGGGGAAUAUUGCACAAUGGGCGGAAGCCUGAUGCAGCACAGCCGCGUGCGGGAUGACGGCCUUCGGGUUGUAAACCGCUUUCGCCUGUGACGAAGCGUGAGUGACGGUAAUGGGUAAAGAAGCACCGGCUAACUACGUG